UCGGAAGGUGAGACGUCCUCGGUCGCGA
rnacentral:sRNA from 1 species